GAGGAAGGUGAGAAUCCUUCCGGCCGAAUAUCUAAGGUUUCCAGAGUAAAGCUGAUCUGCUCUGGGUAAGUCGGGGCCUAAGGCCAGGUCGAAAGACGUAACCGAUGGACAACAGGUUGAAAUUCCUGUACCUUAAGUAAACAGAACUGUGGGGACACGUGUGGAGAGCACAAGCCGGAAAUGGAAAAGCCGGUGCAAGCGAGGUAGGAGAUGAACAGGCAAAUCCGUUCAUCAAUCCGAAGACGUGAUGCGGACCGAAUUAAGAGUAGGGAAGUGUGUGAGCCAUGCGUCAAGAAAAGCCGCUAUUGUUUUACUUAAGCCCGUACCGUAAACCGACACAGGUGGAUGAGGAGAGAAUCCUAAGGCCGACGGGAGAAGCAUUGUUAAGGAACUCGGCAAAAUGACUCCGUAACUUCGGGAGAAGGAGUGCCAGCGAGAGCUGGCCGCAGAGAAUUGGCCCAAGCAACUGUUUAGCAAAAACACAGGUCUAUGCAAAACCGUAAGGUGAAGUAUAUGGGCUGACGCCUGCCCGGUGCUGGAAGGUUAAGAGGAGAGGUUAGCGGUAACGCGAAGCUUUGAAUUUAAGCCCCAGUAAACGGCGGCCGUAACUAUAACGGUCCUAAGGUAGCGAAAUUCCUUGUCGGGUAAGUUCCGACCCGCACGAAAGGCGUAAUGAUUUGGGCACUGUCUCAACAAUGCACCCGGUGAAAUUGAAAUACCAGUGAAGAUGCCGGUUACCUGCGCCAGGACGGAAAGACCCCAUGGAGCUUUACUCCAGCUUGAUACUGGGAUUCGGUAUUGCAUGUACAGGAUAGGUGGGAGGCUAGGAAGUGAUAACGCCAGUUGUCACGGAGCCGCUGUUGGGAUACCACCCUUGCAGUAUUGGAUUUCUAACCAGCGACCAUGAACUGGUCGGGGGACAAUGUCAGGUGGGGAGUUUGACUGGGGCGGUCGCCUCCGAAGGGGUAUCGGAGGCGCUCAAAGGUUCCCUCAGAAUGGACGGAAACCAUUCGAAGAGUGCAAAGGCAGAAGGGAGCUUGACUGCGACACCGACGGGUGGAGCAGGUACGAAAGUAGGACUUAGUGAUCCGGUGGUAUAAAGUGGGAUUGCCAUCGCUCAACGGAUAAAAGCUACCCUGGGAUAACAGGCUUAUCACUCCCAAGAGUCCACAUCGACGGAGUGGUUUGGCACCUCGAUGUCGGCUCAUCGCAUCCUGGGGCUGAAGUAGGUCCCAAGGGUUGGGCUGUUCGCCCAUUAAAGCGGUACGCGAGCUGGGUUCAGAACGUCGUGAGACAGUUCGGUCCCUAUCCGGCGUGGGCGUAGGAUAUUUGAGAGGAGCUGUCCUUAGUACGAGAGGACCGGGAUGGACUGGCCGCUGGUGUAUCUGUUGCAUACCAAAUGCAUGGCAGAGUAGCCAAGCCGGGACGGGAUAAACGCUGAAGGCAUCUAAGCGUGAAGCCCCCCUCAAGAUGAGAUAUCCCUACGUAAGUAGUAAGACCCCUUGAAGACGACGAGGUAGAUAGGUCAGAGGUGGAAGUACAGUAAUGUAUGGAGCUGACUGAUACUAAUCGGUCGAGGGCAUGAUC
rnacentral:rRNA from 1 species